AUGGUUGCUAGAGCAAAGCCCUAACCACUGCUUCUUGGCUUUUCAAUCAACCCAGGCCUGGUGACUCGACUCCGGUAUCCAGUUUGUUUUGGGAGGCAGAAAGCCCCAGUUACAGCAGGGCUGAGAUACGGGAAAUGGGUGAUCGAUCCCUCGGAGCUCACUUUUGUGCAAGAAAUUGGCAGUGGGCAAUUUGGGUUGGUGCAUCUGGGCUACUGGCUCAACAAGGACAAGGUGGCUAUCAAAACCAUUCGGGAAGGGGCUAUGUCAGAAGAGGACUUCAUAGAGGAGGCUGAAGUCAUGAUGAAACUCUCUCAUCCCAAACUGGUGCAGCUGUAUGGGGUGUGCCUGGAGCAGGCCCCCAUCUGCCUGGUGUUUGAGUUCAUGGAGCACGGCUGCCUGUCAGAUUAUCUACGCACCCAGCGGGGACUUUUUGCUGCAGAGACCCUGCUGGGCAUGUGUCUGGAUGUGUGUGAGGGCAUGGCCUACCUGGAAGAGGCAUGUGUCAUCCACAGAGACUUGGUUCGUUCUGGAUGAUCAGUACACCAGUUCCACAGGCACCAAAUUCCCAGUGAAGUGGGCAUCCCCAGAGGUUUUCUCUUUCAGUCGCUAUAGCAGCAAGUCCGAUGUGUGGUCAUUUGGUGUGCUGAUGUGGGAAGUUUUCAGUGAAGGCAAAAUCCCGUAUGAAAACCGAAGCAACUCAGAGGUGGUGGAAGACAUCAGUACCGGAUUUCGGUUGUACAAGCCCCGGCUGGCCUCCACACAUGUCUACCAGAUUAUGAAUCACUGCUGGAAAGAGAGACCAGAAGAUCGGCCAGCCUUCUCCAGACUGCUGCGUCAACUGGCUGAAAUUGCAGAAUCAGGACUUUAGUAGAGACUGAGUACCAGGCCACGGGCUGCAGAUCCUGAAUGGAGGAAGGAUAUGUCCUCAUUCCAUAGAGCAUUAGAAGCUGCCACCAGCCCAGGACCCUCCAGAGGCAGCCUGGCCUGUGGCAUCAGUCCCUGAGUCACCAUGGAAGCAGCAUCCUGACCACAGCUGGCAGUCAAGCCACAGCUGGAGGGUCAGCCACCAAGCUGGGAGCUGAGCCAGAACAGGAGUGAUGUCUCUGCCCUUCCUCUAGCCUCUUGUCACAUGUGGUGCACAAACCUCAACCUGACAGCUUUCAGACAGCAUUCUUGCACUUCUUAGUAACAGAGAGAGACAUGAGUAAGACCCAGAUUGCUAUUUUUAUUGUUAUUUUUAACAUGAAUCUAAAGUUUAUGGUUCCAGGGACUUUUUAUUUGACCCAACAACACUGUAUCCCAGGAUAUGGAGGCAAGGGGAACAAAGAGCAUGACUCUUUUUCCAAGAAAACUGGUGAGUUAAGUAAGAUUAGAGCGCGUGUGCUCUGUUGCUGUGAUGCUGUCAGCCACAGCUUCCUGCCGUAGAGAAUGAUAGAGCAGCUGCUCACACAGGAGGCCGGAUAUUCUGAGAAGCAGCUUUAUGAGGUUUUACAGAGUAUGCUGCUACCUCUCUCCUUGAAGGGAGCAUGGUGAGACCCAUUGGAUGGAUUGGGGUGAACAAUUCAGGUCCCAUGCUUGGAGCAUUGGGUAUCUGAUGUCUGCACCAGAACAAGAGAACCUCUGACGGUGGAGAACCAUGUGGUGCAAGAAGAGAUCUUAGGUCUCUUCUUUUAUACCAAGCUCAUCUUUUAUACCAAGCUGUGCAGGUGACUAUGCCUCCUCUUCUGCACAGAAUGCUUCCACCAGCAUCCUGAGAAGAAAUGAUUACUUCUGAAAAACAUCCUUUUUUCCAGCCUCUGGGAAUCAGCCCCCCUCUCUGCACUAUCCGAUCCUCAUCAACAGAGGGCAGCAUUGUGUUGGUCAGCGUUCCCUUGGUGAGCAAUUGAAACUUGUUUAGGCCCUAGGGUUGAGCAAUUUUAAGGUUGAGACUCCAAGUCUCCUAAAAUUCUAGGAGAGAAAUAAAGAGUCUGUUUUUGCUCAAACCAUCAGGAUGGAAACAGUCAGGCACUGACUGGGGUGCUUCCAAGAGGCAUGAGAAUGCCUACUCUGGCUUGAGCACUUUUAUAUGCAAGGUGAAUAUGUACUGAGCUAGGAGACUUCCCUGCAAAAUCUCUGUUCACCCUGGGUUCACAUCCCCAUGAGGUAAUAUUAUUAUUCCCAUUUUACAAAUAAUGUAACUGAGGCUUUAAAAAGCCAAGACAUCUGCCCAAAGUGAUGGAACUAGAAAGUCUAGAGCUGGUAUUCUAGCCCAAAUCUGUCUGACCGCAAUACACAGAUUCUUUAUUCCUAUUCGACACUGCCUUCUACUGAAAAUGAAAGGGAUUGCAGAGGGAAUAAAUACAAAGAUGGAAAGCCAGUAAAGAAGUCAGUAUAGAACCACUAGCGAAUAGUGUUGCUCUGGCACAGACCACUGUGGUUGAUGGCAUGGCCCUCCAACUUGGAAUAGGAUUUUCCUUUUCCUAUUCUGUAUCCUUACCUUGGUCAUGUUAAUGACUUUGGAGUUAUUCAGUUAAUGACCCUUUAAUUCUCACAACCAACCAGUCAUGUUGCUUGAAGCCAUUUAUAGACGAGCUUCUAAGCAACUUUAAAAGAUUCUUCUGUAGAAGUAUGAGUUCUUCCUUUAAUUAUCAUUCCAACUUUCAGCUGUAGUCUUCUUGAACACUUCAUGAGGAGGGACAUUCCCUGAUAUAAGAGAGGAUGGUGUUGCAAUUGGCUCUUUCUAAAUCAUGUGACGUUUUGACUGGCUUGAGAUUCAGAUGCAUAAUUUUUAAUUAUAAUUAUUGUGAAGUGGAGAGCCUCAAGAUAAAACUCUGUCAUUCAGAAGAUGAUUUUACUCAGCUUAUCCAAAAUUAUCUCUGUUUACUUUUUAGAAUUUUGUACAUUAUCUUUUGGGAUCCUUAAUUAGAGAUGAUUUCUGGAACAUUCAGUCUAGAAAGAAAACAUUGGAAUUGACUGAUCUCUGUGGUUUGGUUUAGAAAAUUCCCCUGUGCAUGGUAUUAUCUUUUUCAAGCUCAGAUUCAUCUAAUCCUUAACUGUACAUGUGUACAUUCUUCACCUCCUGGUGCCCUAUCCCGCAAAAUGGGCUUCCUGCCUGGUUUUUCUCUUCUCACAUUUUGUAAAUGGUCCCCUGUGUUUGUAGAGAACUCCCUUAUACAGAGUUUUGGUUCUAGUUUUAUUUCGUAGAUUUUGCAUUUUGUACCUUUUGAGACUAUGUAUUUAUAUUUGGAUCAGAUGCAUAUUUAUUAAUGUACAGUCACUGCUAGUGUUCGAAAUAAAAAUGUUACAAAGACCUGUUAUCCUUUGUAGAGCACACAGAGUUAAAAGUUGAAUAUAGCAAUACUAAAGCUGCAUUUUAAUAAAUAUGGUGCAUAGGG
rnacentral:sRNA from 1 species